rnacentral:rRNA from 1 species
GCCAUCGUUCAUACCGCGUUGGAAAUACUCGUUCUUGUCCGAUCACAAAAGUCAAGCAGCGCUGGGCACGGUUAGUAUUUAGAUGGGUAACCGCUUGGGAACUCCGUGUGGCGUUGGCU